rnacentral:lncRNA from 1 species
GCCCCUCUCUCUAUAGGCCCCUCACUCUAUAGGCUCCUCUCUCUAUAGGCUCCUCUCUCUAUAUGCCCUCUCUAACUAUAGGACCCUUCUCUCUACAGGCUCCUCCCUCUCUGGUCUCUCGCUCUGAACUCUAUCAAAGGCAGUGAUUCUUCUGACAGUGAUUGAUCUGAAUUACAGCCAAUCGCAGAAACAUCAAGCCAAAUUGUCAAUUUGAUCACUCCAAAUGUUUGUAAAAUAAGCCCCCUUUAAUGGGAGGUUACAUGUCUGGUGUUGAAACAGGAACAUAAAAAGAGGAGAGGGAAUGGAGAGGGGAAUAAAGGAGGGGAAGGAGCUGAAAGAAAAGCGUGGUGACUGGAGGUCUCCAUUUGGCAUGGUGGUUCAGUCAGUGACAGGGGAAGAGGCUACUGGCAGGCAGGGCUAGUCCUUUAGGAAGGAGAGGAGACAGGCAGGGCUAGUCCUUUAGGAAGGAGAGGAGACAGGCAGGGCUAGUCCUUUAGGAAGGAGAGGAGACAGGCAGGGCUAGUCCUUUAGGGGGGAGAGGAGACAGGCAGGGCUAGUCCUUUAGGGGGGAGAGGAGACAGGCAGGGCUAGUCCUUUAGGGGGGAGAGGAGACAGGCAGGGCUAGUCCUUUAGGAAGGAGAAGAGACAGGCAGGGCUAGUCCUUUAGGGGGGAGAGGAGACAGGCAGGGCUAGUCCUUUAGGAAGGAGAGGAGACGAUAAAAGGAAGCCGGGGCUGUUCCUUUGUGCCUGAAUCAAUCGAUACUCCUGAGCGCACUCUUUUAAACACUAUCCAUGUGCUGCAGGGGUGCUGCUGGGGCAGGGCUGGAACAAAGACUGUCUCCUGUUCCUGAGGCCCCCACUAGAGAGACAAUGGGUGCAUCCCAAAUAGCAUGCCCUAUUCCAGGGUUCCCCAAUAGGCCCACGUGUGGUUUUAUUUGGCGUCUCAAGUUUUAUGAGGGGGGGGGGAAUUAUAAUAUAUAUAUAUAUAUAUAUAUAUAUAUAUA